CCUGUCAACCCUUUUAGCACGUGUCAAAAACUCAAAGAAAAAGACGAUGACUUUGAAGUCUACAAGUCAUAUUUCUGUGAACGAGUGAACUGGCAACAUGUCGAGCCCGUAAGUAACUAGGUUUUUCCUAUAGAAAUUAUAGCAAGUCACAGUAAAAUCUUGAACCCAGAACAACAACAACAACAGCAGCUGGAUCAAUUGGUUCCUCGGAAUCAAGGGCAACGAGUUCCUCUGCCACGUGCCCACCAACUACUUUCAGGACACGUUCAACCAGAUCGGCCUGGAGUACUUUAGCCAGCACUGGACGUGAUCCUGAAGCCGGUGUUCGACAGUUCCUCGGGCUUGUUCUACGACGAUGAGAAAAAGUGGUACGGCAUGAUUCACGCCCGAUACAUCAGGUCGGAGCGUGGCGUGAAUGAUAUGCACCGAAACUAUAUGAGAGGAGACUUUGAAUCGUGUCCAAAUACCUCCUGUAAUAGGAAGAACACCCUUCCAGUGGGACUCAGCGAUGUGUGGGGCAAGUCAACGGUGAAGAUCUACUGCCCACGCUGUAAAAACUACUUCCAUCCUAAAACUGAUACAUUUCUUUUUUAAUUUCUUUAAAUAUACAAAUUCUGUUUUAAUGUAUUAUAGUAGUGAGUAGAAGGUUAAAACAUUAUUUUCAAUUUCAAAUAAAAUUAAAAUUUUGAUUCCAUCAUUCUUAUGUAAUUCUUUUUGUAGAGUAUUCAAUACUGGCAACUUCGUAUUUUAGUUUGAUUUUCCAUGCUGUUUUUGGUUAAUUUCCAACAUACCAGAUUGAUUUCGCGCGUAAAUUUAAACGCACUUUAUUGCCUUUUUGGAAGAACGUUGCUUCAAAACGGAAAAUCGAAGGAAACCCUGACCGGACCUAAGGGACAGCCUUGGGGGGAAAACUGGCAGUGCAUUUUCCCAGCCCCAAAGAUUUUCCCCGGCACGUCGGGGAACUUAUUAUGAAAUAAAAGAACUAAUACUUAUUAUGCUAGCCGAACAUAACACGAAUUUUCGAGUCUAGAGUUCCCAUCUGCAAGGGCAUGCUUCCAUCCUAAAACUGAUACACAGCCAUGUUUGAGUCCAGCUUCCCGGGCAUCUUCUUAACGCAGCUGCCGAACUUGAGACCGCCCCUGGACGACCCACGGUAAGUAAUUCUCCGAAUAUAGUCCUGGUUGUUUUCUAAACAAAGCGCUUGAACUUGCAGUCCCUAUGCUUUCGGUUGCACCAGAAGGCCUUGAUGCCACUUAAAUCGCCCAAGUCACCAAAGAAAAUCGGAUCCUCGGCCAGCUAGUCAUCCUCCUCGCUCCGGCAUUCCGAAGUCAAGCGCUUCAAUGUUCUUCUAGGGACGACGUGAUUUUUUAACUCCACACAAAAGAAAGCAGAAAUGUUUGUCCGAUAUAUUGUUGCAAUUAAACAGAUUCCGCAGUACGUUGAUAUGGCCAGCUACCACCUACUAAUAUACCUCAUACACCUCUCCUCUAAAUACUUGGUUCAAAGUGUUCGGUCCAAGCUGGUCAUAACAAGCACUCAUUCAAGUAGCAAAGCAUACUUUUCGUUAAUAGUGGUAAUCACCUGGGUAUAAUAAUAUUAAUCAAUAAAACAUUCAAUUCAGUUUUUUAUUUAAUUUUAUGUUAAAAGAGUUUCCAAAAGUGUUUUCCUGACUACAUCAAAUAUUUUUUGAUAAUUUAAUUUCUUUAAAUAUACAAAUUCCGUUUUAAUGUAUUAUAGGAGUGAGUAGAAGGUUAAAACAUUAUUUUCAAUUUCAAAUAAAAUUAAAAUUUUGAUUCCAUCAUUUUUAUGUAAUUCUUUUUGUAGAGUAUUCAAUACUGGCAACUUCGU
ensembl:ncRNA Su(Ste):CR42414 Su(Ste):CR42414